rnacentral:rRNA from 1 species
CGACAUUAGACGAAUCAUCUGGAAAGAUGAAUCAAAGAAGGUAAUAAUCCUGUAGUCGAAAAUGUUGUCUCUCUUGAGUGGAUCCUGAGUACGACGGAGCACGUGAAAUUCCGUCGGAAUCUGGGAGGACCAUCUCCUAAGGCUAAAUACUCUCUAGUGACCGAUAGUGAACCAGUACCGUGAGGGAAAGGUGAAAAGCACCCCGGAAGGGGAGUGAAAUAGAACCUGAAACCGUGUGCUUACAAGUAGUCAGAGCCCGUUAAUGGGUGAUGGCGUGCCUUUUGUAGAAUGAACCGGCGAGUUACGAUUUGAUGCAAGGUUAAGCAGUAAAUGUGGAGCCGUAGCGAAAGCGAGUCUGAAUAGGGCGUUUAGUAUUUGGUCGUAGACCCGAAACCAGGUGAUCUACCCUUGGUCAGGUUGAAGUUCAGGUAACACUGAAUGGAGGACCGAACCGACUUACGUUGAAAAGUGAGCGGAUGAACUGAGGGUAGCGGAGAAAUUCCAAUCGAACCUGGAGAUAGCUGGUUCUCUCCGAAAUAGCUUUAGGGCUAGCCUCAAGUGAUGAUUAUUGGAGGUAGAGCACUGUUUGGACGAGGGGCCCCUCUCGGGUUACCGAAUUCAGACAAACUCCGAAUGCCAAUUAAUUUAACUUGGGAGUCAGAACAUGGGUGAUAAGGU